rnacentral:sRNA from 1 species
GCUGGGCAUGGUGGUCCAUGCCUGUAAUCCCAGAACUUUGGGAGGCUGAGGUGGGUGGAUCACCUGAGGUCAGGAGUUCGAGACCAGCCUGGCCAACAUGGUGAAACCCCAUCUCUA